CCUACGGGAGGCAGCAGUGAGGAAUAUUGGUCAAUGGACGAGAGUCUGAACCAGCCAAGUAGCGUGAAGGAUGACUGCCCUAUGGGUUGUAAACUUCUUUUAUAUGGGAAUAAAAUGUUCCACGUGUGGGAUUUUGUAUGUACCAUAUGAAUAAGGAUCGGCUAACUCCGUGCCAGCAGCCGCGGUAAUACGGAGGAUCCGAGCGUUAUCCGGAUUUAUUGGGUUUAAAGGGAGCGUAGGUGGAUUGUUAAGUCAGUUGUGAAAGUUUGCGGCUCAACCGUAAAAUUGCAGUUGAAACUGGCAGUCUUGAGUACAGUAGAGGUGGGCGGAAUUCGUGGUGUAGCGGUGAAAUGCUUAGAUAUCACGAAGAACUCCGAGUGCGAAGGCAGCUCACUGGACUGCAACUGACACUGAGGCUCGAAAGCGUGGGGAGCAAACAGGAUUAGAUACCCGAGUAGUC
rnacentral:rRNA from 1 species